rnacentral:lncRNA from 1 species
AUGGCCAUCCAAGCUUAGACUUUCACAAAGCUAAGCUUGAGGGGGAGUGUUGAGAAGAAGGCAUUAGAUGAUGAGAUGGAUUGCUAAUAAGAGAGUGAGGCUUAGGAGAGUAAUGGGUUGGAGGAAUGAGUUUGGGAGAGGCUAGGCCGUACAGGCCGUACCAUGGCCGUACAGGCCGUACAUGAGUAGCUCGACCAAGAUCACUACCUAAGGGAAGUUACUACACUCGGUUAACUUAAGAGGUAAAGGAGAAGUCUUACUGAGGCUUUACUGAUGUUACCGCGUGGAGAGGAUAAGGGAAGAGCUUAUGACAGGCUGUCAGUAGCUGUGUAAAGGUAAAGGUGCUUUACACACAAGGAAGAGCUUAAUUGGACAGUUUGAAUUAAAGCAGAAUCUUAUCCCAUGUAAUAGUGUGCUUUCUGAAACCCUUAACCUCGACAUGCCUCUCUAUAUAUUGUAACAUCUGGUCAUUAAUAAAACUUAGACAGUUCUGAUUAUCUUUGCCUCCAUGGCUUACUCUUAGUCUCGAUCUCUUAUCUUACUCUUUACACUCAGUUCUUCUCUAAUCUCUCUUAAACACUCAGAUUACUCUUCAUUACUCUAAAAGUCAUA